ensembl:lncRNA
ACACAACAUGAUCUUCUUUAUUUAAUUGUUUAAUCAGUUUACAUUCCACAACUGACAGAUUAUUUAUUUUUAUUUUUUCCAUGAACAAGUCAUUUAAUUAAUUACCAGACACUUUUUUUCUUCAAUCGAUGGAAAUACAAUAUUUCUGCCAAUUUGAAAAAGAAAAUUGCAAGAUGCAGUCAGUGUCAGUGAAGUCCCCAAAUGCUCUCUGCUUCCUCAGUCUUUGCAAAGUCACAGAAACCUGGCAAUUUCCCUUUUCAUCCCCCCCUCCCACUUCCCUGUUAAAUUCACCUCUCAGAAUAGCACAAUAGUUUCAAGAUCUGGUUCGGAUCACCUUUCCUGUAAUUAAUUAAUUAUGAGAAGGAACAGACAGUACAGUAGAUCUGAUAAGAUGUAGCAUUCUGGUUAAGAUUAAACAACACAUUUAUUCACAUCGUAUCAGAACAAAUGAACAUAAUAUUUAAUCUUAUUUUAGCACCAAUAACCACAGGAAUUGCUACCUCCAAGGGCAGAGGCGGUGUUGGAAUCCUGCAGUACACAUCACUCCUUGUCUAACCAAUCAGAAAGCACUAUGCAAAUUAAAGUAAAGGUAAAUAAAUUUAUAUUGAUUGAGCAAAAAUCUAGUGGACCAUAAACGCUCCAGGUGUUGAAGAGUUUCGUCGGCUAUGGUCCCUGUCUAAUGACUGUAUAUAAAACAUACUCACCAAAUCAGUUCGUUCUCUUUUGCUCGAUAACACAGGGCUCAGAACGCGGUAUUUUAAAUGAAUCAAACCUUGUCAUAUUGGCUCUUUGAAGUGCUUUGAGAAUGCCCAGGGGUUGCUUGCUUGCAUUUUAUUCCAUUCUCUGCACUAAGAUCUCACUAUUCACCUCUACUCCUCCUUACAUACCUCCCACCCCACCAAAGAGGUUUCUUCAAAUCUAAGGAGGGUCUCUAGGCAGGGAGGAAGAGUGGGCAAUGGUGGAUCGCAUCCCAGUAUAAGGGACAGAGCUUGUCACUGCCACCUCCUAGGAGACCUAGUCUGCCUGUGGCCACUGCCCUUUCCAGCAUAGCCCCUUUUAGCAUUUAAGGAAAGUAAGGGAUUGAGAAAAUAGGUCCAAAUAUUGAUGAGACGCUAUUAGCAGGUAACUGGACCAGAUGACAAGAAGUUGUGGAGAUUUUUAUUCUUGACAAAGAGAAGGCCUGGCUGCCCCCUAUCCUAAAAUAAAGGGUUUCUGGAUAAGGGAUAAACUGGUGUUCCUACAGCUAAGGAACUUGUUUGGCCACUAGAACUUUGAUGGGUAACAACGGCCCUGCCUGGGGCAGCACUGACCCCCUGGGGCAGAUGUGACAUGUAUUUGAGUGGUCCUCUCCUCUCCUCUCCUCUCAGCAGGUGAUGCAUAUCUUCCAGAGGCCGGGAUGGCAUCCUGGACAUUGCUCCUGUGCUGUCUGCUCAGGGCCAGCACCAGCUCCAGCCUGUUAGCUGUGAGGUCUGAGUGACUCACCAGUGAAGGGGUACCCCAUCCCAUCACCUAAUGAGAAGUCUUUGCUGUUCUGUACGGCAGCGAGGGGCCAUGUGUGGUUAUUGGGCACUGGCCAUGGGUCUGGGCCAAACUGAGAUGUUUUCUAAGAGUAAAAUUCUCAUUGAAUUUCAAAGACUUCAUUUGAAAAAAAAAAAAAAAGAACAUAAAAUAUCUCAGUAAUUUUUAUAUUGAUUCCAUGUUGAAGUAUUUUUGAUAUGUUGGGUUAAGACAGGUAUUAAAAUUAAUCUCACUUGCUUCUUUGGACUUUUAAAAGUGGGGCUCCUAGGGUAUUUGAAAUUGCCUAUGUGCCUUACAUGGUAUCUAUCAGACAGCACUGGUCUAAACUGCCUUCCUAAAGCUGAUCCCAGAGGUGAUCAUUGUGGAUUCUCACAAAGGAGAAAGGUUUGGAUUGAAGGUGCCGAGGAGGAGGAGAGUUAGGUCAAUGACCAAGCUUGGUGUGAAUCCUCCCUGGGACAGCUAGUCUUCUCAAUCUUGGGGGAGGUGGCAGCUCUUUGGGGUGUAGGAUUCCCUGCCCCUGUUGCUCUUUCCUACUUCCUCUUAUGGGUACCCUGCCUUUUGGGGGAACUUCUCUGCUGCCAUGCUGAGGAUGCCCUGUGAUUCUGCCAUUUCCCCUUCCAAAAGCUUUCUUUAUCUUACCUCCUCUGCCGACCCACAUCUGCUGCCCACUGCCUCCUCCACUCCCACCCCCACAAUGCUCUCUUCACUCGGAUUUGGUUGCACUCCUCAGCCAGACUCCCUGCGUCUGACCGCGCGAGCCAGGUCGGUAGAGUCGGUCAUCUAUUACGAACCAACUCACACACAUCAUCUCCUCGGAUACUAUUUCUCCUACCCCAGUGCAGCAAAGCUCUGUCAGUGACGACAGGAAAAUGAGAUCGUCAAAGUGGGUGGAAAAGGCAUCUGAGAAUGAAAAGGUAGAUAAAAGGCUUUGGACUCUGAGCACAAACUGGUUGUUAGCUUGAGGUUACUUUCUGAGGAGUGAAAACUUGGGGUGAGAGUAGCAAGGAGAGGCUCUCUGACUGCACCUCCUGCAAUAAGCACGCACCAGCAUGGGCUCAGAGCCUCUCCGAAAAUAGCAGCGGAUUGGCCAAGGACACUCAGCACCCAGGAGCCCCGGAAGCCCCCCUGCCCCCUGUUUGGCUGAGAGGACACAGAGACGUGGUGAGGUAACAAGAUUCACCCAAGGGUGAGCCAGUGACAAAGCUACGAAUACCACCCAGAAUCCGGUCUCUGUGUUGACCUUCGUGAUGACCUUCACCCUUCACACUUGGGUGACUUGCUGUUACUUUUUUGGAAAAUAUGUUUUACUUCAAAGGCAAAAACCUUUAGAACAGAGAGUUCCAAGCAGACACUCGUGACUGUCAGAGAAACAACCAAAAAAAUAAAAUAAAAAAUAAAAAUAAAAAACCUCCUGCGCCAAUGGCUUCCCUCCCUUCAAAUCCCACCCAGAGUUGAGAUUUUAGGGCAGUCUACAUAAGUCCUCAGAAAACUGAGGGCUACAUCAAUGCAUUUGUUUAGUCUCAAUUCCCUCCCCCUUAUUUUCAGUUUCCACUUGUAUUUGUACAUUUUUACAGAUAGUCUUGAAUAGCAAAACAGUCACACCGUAGAUGGAAGUGGGAAAGGGGAGGAGAAUGAGUUCGUGAAAGCUCUUUAUGUGAAAGGCAUCACUACAGUCACAACAACACAGACGCACUGAUACAUUCAGGCUAGAAAGGGUCUACGGGUGACCCAGAAAGGAAGGGAAACGUGUUGCCAGGAGAGGACAGAGGGACACAGAGUUCCGCCAGGAGCCACAGCCAGUCCUUGGAAGUGAAUAGAAGGAGUUGCAAUUGCUGAGGUCGGUAUCUGUCAAAGCCAUGCCCGGUUUACAUCAUGGCUGUGCAACCCCCUCUGCUUACACCCAUUUUUCUGUAUCUCAGUAUUGAACAAACACCCCUGUGGUUGGGUGGCUCCUCCAUUCCUGUCUGGGCUCCCAACUCUAUCAUCCAAGCAGUGACUUGGCUUUCCCUCAAAGGUCUCACCAUGUCACUGUAAGCACAUCCCCUGCAAAGCAGAAGGUGAGCAGACCCUUUGGGAAGUGCAUUCUUCUCUUGCUUAGAACCUAGCAUUCAGUUUUUUCCCCACACAGGAUCAUUCCCAGAACAUUUCCCAGUGAAUCACUAUCCAAAAAACUUCCUGUAAGAAUCCAUAUGCUUUGCAUGAAGCCAUAUGCUUCACCAACUCAUCAGGAGAAAGAAGAUCCCAGUUCCUUGAAACUUGUUCCCAUCUUAAACGUCGAAGACCAUUAGAAUGUUCUAGAGUCUGAUUUGCACCCAUCACUUGGGGCAUGGACAGCCAGAAAUAAUGUUAGGAGGAUGGAAAUAAAUAAAUAAAUAAAUAAAUAAAUAAAUAAAUAAGGCAUUGACUAUGGGCCUUGGUUAACUGUUACCCCUUUUAGCUCACAUAUCCUAUUUGCCACAUAUGGUUUACUUAUUCCAUCACUUUUUGGACUAAUAAAGAGGGAUUAAGAGUGCUCUUUGCAAAACUGGCUUUGGAUGAAAGGAAGGAAGCCUGAGAAUGGGUAAAUUAAGGAGUCAGCUCUCUGAGGAACCUGAAUAAAACCCACGUGUUUUAGUUGGAUAGUACAGUCCUGUUCAGUGGCCAGGAUGUCCUCUUAUUCUAGAUCAUCCUUCCAACAGUGAGGCUCAGAAACUACAUGGAAGAAUUCCAUUCAGUGGGGGCUCGGCUGCUGCAGGAUAAUUUGAACAGUGCAUAAGAUACACUUAUAUGACACUUCAUGUUUGCAAAUUACUUUGCAAUUUCUUUGUCACCCUUAAUAUACCAUGAGGUAAAGUGUUAUAACUGUCCUCAUUUUGUGGAUGAGGAAGUUCAAGUAUGGAGAAUACACAGUGCCCAGAGUCAGAAAUCAUUUUAGUGCAGAGCUGAAAUGAGAUUUACAGUAGUUGCAUUGUAAAAGUGUAGCUUAAUUAGUGAGUUACUCUGGCUUCAUUGAGCCUACACUUAUAAUUAGAUUGCCAUGGCACUCAAACAGAAAGAAAGAAGGAAAGAAAGAAAGAAAGAAAGAAAGAAAGAAAGAAAGAAAGAAAGAAAGAAAGAAAGAAAGUCAAAAAAGAAGAAAUAGGAAAGAAAUCCCAAAGUGGGAAUCUUUUAGCUCUGUUCCACCCUGCCCCUAAGCUCUUGCAUUGAGCCUCCUCAAAGGCCUCUUUGCUACCUCUGGGGGUUCAGAGCUCUGUGCUCCUGCUGCUGUGAACCCUACAUAGACAAAUGUAGUUCUAUGGUCAUGGGCUGCACCCCUGGCCCCACUACCAACCCAGAGACAACGACUGAUCAGACAAGUGUUGGGGCCAUGAUCACUAUGAUGCCUCAGAGCAAUGGCAUUUUGAACAGUCUUCUAGGGUUUCUUCCUUUUGUAUUUUAUCUUUAUAAUUUUCUACAGUGAGCAUGUAUUACUCAGGAAAAAAAAAAUCAAAUAGCCAAUAAUAAAGGAGUCUAAGAAUGAAGAACAACAAUGUUUAAGAAACAUUUUGCACCAUGGAAGCAUCAAUGGAAAGAGGGCAAAUACAGCCCAUGAAGGUGACCGGGUUGAGAGACACCCGAAUUUUAUGUCCAUCAACUCAGGUGGGCUUGUUUAAAAAUCUGUCCCCUUUCUCUACUGCAUAACAGCUGGAAGACAGCACAGAAGCCAACCCGGCUGUUAUGCACCAACUAUUUUUAUUUGUGGUGAAAUCACUCAAUGACUCAUCAAAUUUCCACUGAAGGGGCUGGAUGUGUCCAGUAGAAAGGCAGGUCCCUAGAGCAGAGGGAACGUUUUCAGAAAAGUAGCUUCCCUUUAGCUGCAAGAAUCAACCAAACAUCCCACACACAUCACACCAAAGAUGACCACAGUGUAUUUCUUCCCACUCCUUCCCCUUAGAUACUUGAAAAUCAGUUAUUCCACACUCUCAGAAUAAGCCAGGUGAAGACAGAGGCCAUUCGCAAUGCCUCUGGGGGAUGUACUUGACAUCAUUAUUCUGAAUCUGACUCAGGUGGGCAGCUUUGGAGACCAAAGUGCCACAUCCUGCCACUCAAUCAGGACACCUACACAGCGUUCUUUCAUUUUAGACUGUGGAUGGAAAUUAAGAUGUAGGGUCCAGACUCACAGUCUCUUCUUCUCUUAUCAAAGGAAAGGCAAGGUUGCUGGAACCACUCACUCCCAAUAGGAGAGUAUCCCCAAAUGACACCAGGGCCCAGGGCUCUGUAUAUGGACCUGUGAUCAAGGAAGUCUUUGUUUUCAUUGGAGUCCUUGAGUCUUUGUGACAUCAUGAUCCCUGAAAUUGAAAGGGUGUAAUUGUUGAAAGGCUGGGGCUUAUACUUUUGAAGCUGGAACAGGCACAUUUGACAUGUUUUUACACUUUAAUGCCAAGGAGUCACAGAACUCUUUAUGAACCCUAGAGCCUCAACUGACAAGGAAGGGGGCUGCUUGUAGUGUCUGAGCCUAUCAAAAGACAAAUUCCUUAACUAACUACUUUAAUUGACCAAAGUUGAUGUAGAGGGAAAGUAAAAGUGAGUGGCGAGAACGCCACGGAAAGUAGAAGAGGAAACCCAAACCCCCAAAAUGGGGAGAGAAAGAAACAGGACCUUUUUCCAGGCAGACACCCCACUCUCCUGAAUCCUGAGGGUCACAGGGCAAGGAAGGAAAUAAAUGCUGAAAUAGGCCCUUUGUUCAAGGUCCACUUGCAUGGAGCUCAAAACACAAACAUGCUCAGAGACCUUGCCUGCACACCUGUAUUUGAAUUUGACCUGGGGUGGGGGCUGGGGGCUGGUGGGUGAGGCUGCUGACCCUAAAUCCCAUCAGAAGUUUGGGCUCUAUUCUGGUCUGGGGUUAGCAGAGUCUGAUCUGAAGAGUCUCGCAGGUUGAGUCUCCUUCCUUCUCUUCUUCCUCAGCCGUGACAGCACGAAAGGCUUCAGUAACAGCUUGGAGUGGCAUGUCUCCAUCUGGGGUCAAGCCCCUCCCGACGCUGGAGGGAUCAAGGCCACCAGAGCAGUUUUCCCACCAGCCAGGGCUUGCCAUCUGCACAGAGCUUCCACCUCGACCGUGCAGCUGGGCUUUUAUUGGCCCGGAGCAGUCUCGGACCCAGGGUGCGUGUCUGUGUGCGUGCGUGCACGCAUGCGCGGCCUUCCUGAUCCCACUAACAAGACAAAACUCCAAGCUCUUGAUCUGACAAUAGUGAGGUGAGUCCAAGCGGUUUACUUCUUUCCUAGGAGUCCUCCUAACAUUUCAGGGACAUUUCAAAGGGAUGCGACAGGCUGUGUUCAAGGUCUAUGAUUUAGACUGGAGACAGCGUAUGAUCUAUUUAUAGCAAGCACGGGAUUUUAAAAGAGGGUAUGUAUCAUACGUUGGUGAGCAGUACUGGUUCCUUAAGAAAAGUUCCUUAAGACGAGUUUAAAUGACUGAUAGCAAAUUGCCCCAUUUGGAGUUUCUUUCCUCAUUUGCCUGUAACUGGGAAACAGCUAAAAUUUGGAUCUGGUCACAGACAUGCCCUCCCCCACCCCGUGGAUACCCAAUUCUCCUGGCAAGGCAGAGCCCGGUCAAGACGCUUGGAAGGAAGACACUGGCCUCUCAAUCUGAGAUACUUCUCCUGAUUUUUUCUGGAACCCAAGUAUGCCCAUCCCCUGAAGGGGAAAAUCAAACUUUUCAAAGGAAAUUCUUAAAAAAAAAAAAAA